UACGUAGGGGGCAAGCGUUGCCCGUAUUUAUUGGGCGUAAAGAGCGUGUAGGCGGCCUGACAGGUCUGCUGUGAAAACUCGAGGCUCAACCUCGAGAUGUCGGCGGAAACCGUCUGGCUAGAGUCCGGAAGAGGAGAGUGGAAUUCCUGGUGUAGCGGUGAAAUGCGCAGAUAUCAAGAAGAACACCUAUGGCGAAGGCAGCUCUCUGGGACGGUACUGACGCUGAGACGCGAAAGCGUGGGGAGCGAACAGG
rnacentral:rRNA from 1 species